CUCACAUCUGUGUGACUUUGACUGACCUGUGUGUUUCUGCUUGUGUGUGUGUGUGUGUGUGUGUGUGUGUGUGUGUGUGUGUGUGUGUGUGUGUGUGUGUGUGUGUGUGUGUGUGUGUGUGUGUGUGUGUGUGUGUGUGUGUGUGUGUGUGUGUGUGUGUGUCUCCAGGGGACCGGGGACAGUGGGGAAGCGAGGGCUGAAGGGGCCUAAGGGCGAGCAGGGCCCCCGGGACUGGACCAGCCCUGUCCUGUGGGCCAAGAUGGACUACCAAUACAAGGUUGCUGGCACAAGUGAUAACUAACCAGCAGCAUGGCCUCUGUACAUAUUGAUAUGGUAUAUAUUGAAUACUACAGCAAACGCCCCCUCGUCAUCGUUUUUUAAAGCCUUUUUAUAUAAUAUAUAGAGAUUUCUAACAUGGACCUUUUUGUGGCUCGACGGAUUUUUUGAGAUCCAGCAGUGCUGGCAAUCCCGCCGAGACAUGAACGAGAGGCGACAGAGGACUCCACACACAGAAGGACUUUGUCUUGCAAAGCAAGGACAGACUGGGGAUCCAGCGGCCUUACUAACACUCUGGGGAAUCUCACCCCCGGCCUGGCCUGAUUGGGAAUGCUGCAUGGCAGUGACAAUGUGGGCUCCCUUAGCCUCACAGAUAACCAUUGGGUUGGAUGGACAGAUUCCCCUAGUGUGGUUUAUAGAAGAAUGUCUGGAUCAGUACUCUCCACCUUCUCUCUCUCUCUCUCUCUCUCUCUCUCUCUCUCUCUCUCUCUCUCUCUCUCUCUCUCUCUCUCUCUCUCUCUCUCUCUCUCUCUCUCUCUCUCUCUCUCUCUCGUUCUCGCUCUUCUUUCUGAAAGGAGGAGAUGGCAAGGCAGAAGCUUAAACGCAAGCGUCUCUCUCAGCCCUGAACAGGAGAGAGGGUUCCUAGGGGGGACAGGAAGGAGACGUAGAUGGACAAGAGAGCAUAUGGGACUACACUGCCCUCUGGGAAGCAGAGAAAACCAUGGAAGGCCUUUUGUGGCACACGCAACACUCAGAUCCGCUGUGACAGACAUUCACCAGGAGGGGGUGCCAGAAUACACGCCAUAUCCGCAUUCAUCGUAGGAGGGCGCCAGCACCCAUGUCUGUUACGAUAACGUUUACCAGGUGGCGGUAAAACAGCUCUUUGCUCUGGGUCAUUGAGGUCACUGGCACAUACAGAGAGGAUAAACCAAGUAGAAUUUAUUGAACGUGUUGUUGCUAAUCUAUUGGUUUAUGCAUUUACAGAUUCAGUUGAUUGUGGAGAUCCACUGUGAUGCUGUAUGUCAUUCUUACAGCGUAUAUUACAUGGUCUCUUUAUCUUUGCAAACCAAAAACCUUAAGCUAUUCUAGUUAUAUUUUAUUUAAAAUAAAACAGUCUUUGACAUUCUUUACAUUCAACCUGGCCAUAGGUUUUUCUCUUCUUUAUGACUUUUUGACAGUUCUUGCAUUUGACUUGUGGUGUUUUGUAUUGUUUAGUUUCAUUCUUAUCGACUCAAGUAACAUGUUGCAUUCCUGUGCAUUUAUGUUUUUGUAUAGAAUGCUCAAAAUUUGUAUUUGAGUGCAAGCCAGUACUGAAGGAACCAUAUACAGUAAUUAGAACGAUGCAGAAGUGUGUUGGCUCUAAGCAGAUCCAUUGUUUGGUUAAUUCUUCUCCUUCUUCCUUUUUUUGCUCAAAAUAGUCUUGUAUCAAAUGCUUGUCAGCCAAGUGUUAUGUAUUUUCAUUGACCUAUCUCUUAAUCAUAGGUUAAAACGUGUUAUAUUGCCAUGGCUUUUGAUCACCAAAAUAAUUGCUUGCCAUGUUUUUGUGAGAAAAGUUGUCGGUUUAUAAAGACAUAAAUAUUAUUAUUACACACUCUGAUACACAUUCUUAGUGUGUCUCUAUUUAACUCUUUCACACACAGUGAAACACACACACUCCCACACAUGCUCUCUGGGAAAUUACAACAAAGAGGGAUUGCAGCAGGCUAGUCUAACUCAAGAGUUUUCAAGGCUCUUGUACAA
ensembl:lncRNA